rnacentral:misc_RNA from 1 species
GAAAUGCGAUAAGUAAUGUGAAUUGCAGAAUUCAGUGAAUCAUCGAAUCUUUGAACGCACAUUGCGCCCGCCAGUAUUCUGGCGGGCAUGCCUGUCCGAGCGUCAUUCCAACCAUCAAGCCCCCGGGCUUGUGUUGGGGACCUGCGGCUGCCCGCAGGCCCUGAAAACCAGUGGCGGGCUCGCUGUCACACCGAGCGUAGUAGCAAUCACCUCGCUCAGGGCGUGCUGCGGGUUCCGGCCGUUAAACAGCCUUACAAAACCCAAGGUUGACCUCGGAUCAGGUAGGAAGACCCGCUGAACUUAAGC